AUUGGGUAGGGGAGCGUUCUGUAAGCGGUUGAAGGUGUGUGGUAACGCAUGCUGGACGUAUCAGAAGUGCGAAUGCUGACAUGAGUAACGAUAAAGGGGGUGAAAAACCUCCUCGCCGGAAGACCAAGGGUUCCUGUCCAACGUUAAUCGGGGCAGGGUAAGUCGACCCCUAAGGCGAGGCCGAAAGGCGUAGUCGAUGGGAAACGGGUUAAUAUUCCCGUACUUCUUACAAUUGCGAUGGGGGGACGGAGAAGGCUAGGUGGGCCUGGCGACGGUUGUCCAGGUUCAAGUGCGUAGGCUUAAGAGUUAGGUAAAUCCGGCUCUUUCUAAGGCUGAGACACGACGUCGAGCACCUACGGGUGUGAAGUCAUUGAUGCCAUGCUUCCAGGAAAAGCCUCUAAGCUUCAGAUUGUAAGGAAUCGUACCCCAAACCGACACAGGUGGUCGGGUAGAGAAUACCAAGGCGCUUGAGAGAACUCGGGUGAAGGAACUAGGCAAAAUGGUACCGUAACUUCGGGAGAAGGUACGCUCUCGACGGUGAAGUCCCUCGCGGAUGGAGCUAUUGAGAGUCGCAGAUACCAGGUGGCUGCAACUGUUUAUUAAAAACACAGCACUGUGCAAAAUCGUAAGAUGACGUAUACGGUGUGACGCCUGCCCGGUGCCGGAAGGUUAAUUGAUGGGGUUAGACUUCGGUCGAAGCUCUUGAUCGAAGCCCCGGUAAACGGCGGCCGUAACUAUAACGGUCCUAAGGUAGCGAAAUUCCUUGUCGGGUAAGUUCCGACCUGCACGAAUGGCGUAAUGAUGGCCACGCUGUCUCCACCCGAGACUCAGUGAAAUUGAAAUCGCUGUGAAGAUGCAGUGUACCCGCGGCUAGACGGAAAGACCCCGUGAACCUUUACUACAGCUUGGCACUGAACAUUGACCCUACAUGUGUAGGAUAGGUGGGAGGCUUUGAAGCACAGUCGCUAGAUUGUGUGGAGCCGUCCUUGAAAUACCACCCUUGUAGUGUUGAUGUUCUAACGUUGACCCCUAAUCGGGGUUGCGGACAGUGCCUGGUGGGUAGUUUGACUGGGGCGGUCUCCUCC
rnacentral:rRNA from 1 species